UCGAAUUAGUUAAAAAAAUACAUGAAAUACUAAAUAUCAAACAUGAUAAGACGACCUUGAAGUUGAAAUUAGACAAAAGAGAAAAAAAAUGCUGAAAUUUCCCUGCUAUACAGUUGCCUAAUUAAUGGGAAAAUACAUUUCUUGUGGGUAUAAUCAAGACAAAGAUGAGCAGUCAAUAAUAAUGGUAUUCUCUCAUCCCGUGAUUGAAUAUGCAAUAAUUCUUUUCAUUUAGGGUCCAUAUAUGAUAAAUAAAACGAUACAAUUCCUGGUAAAAUGUCUCGAUCAUACCAUAGUGUAUAAUAUAUAUUUUAUGAAUUCAUGGAAUCUUCCUCUGUAUACAGCACACGAACUUUUAUUAUUUUUCGAACUGUUAAUUAUUAAGAAACUCAUUUAAUCAAUCACCAUUGAAAUCAUAUCCAUAGUAUUGAGCUGCAAGCCAGCUCUUCAAUAAAAAUAAUACGGAAUUUACUGAACAGUUAUUGGAUCACAAGUUAGUUAAUCAUUUUUGUCCGAAAUUAUUUCACUGGACAAAUUCAUGGUGACAAUUGGACUUCCAACUGAAUGCUU
rnacentral:lncRNA from 1 species